rnacentral:rRNA from 1 species
GACGAACGCUGGCGGCGUGCUUAACACAUGCAAGUCGAACGGAAAGGCCCGGCUUUUGUGGGGUGCUCGAGUGGCGAACGGGUGAGUAACACGUGAGUAACCUGCCCUUGACUUUGGGAGAACUUCAGGAAACUGGGGCUAAUACCGGAUAGGAGCUCCUGCUGCAUGGUGGGGGUUGGAAAGAUUCGGCGGUUGGGGGUGGACUCGCGGCUUAUCGGCUUGUUGGUUGGGUAGUGGCUGACCAAGGCUUUGAAGGGUAGCCGGCCUGAGAGGGUGACCGGCCACAUUGGGACUGAGAUACGGCCCAGACUCCUACGGGAGGCAGCAGUGGGGAAUAUUGCACAAUGGGCGGAAGCCUGAUGUAGCAACGCCGCGUGCGGGAUGACGGCCUUCGGGUUGUAAACCGAUUUCGCCUGUGACGAAGCGUGAGUGACGGUAAUGGGUAAAGAAGCACCGGCUAACUACGUG